AAAGGAAUUGACGGGGGCCCGCACAAGCGGUGGAGCAUGUGGUUUAAUUCGAUGCAACGCGAAAAACCUUACCUACCCUUGACAUCCUUGGAAGCCUGUAGAGAUAUGGGCGUGCCCUCGGGAGCCAAGAGACAGGUGCUGCAUGGCUGUCGUCAGCUCGUGUCGUGAGAUGUUGGGUUAAGUCCCGUAACGAGCGCAACCCUUGUCCUUAGUUACUAACGCGUUAUGGCGAGCACUCUAAGGAGACCGCCGGUGAUAAACCGGAGGAAGGUGGGGAUGAGGUCAAGUCAUCAUGGUCUUUAUGGGUAGGGCUACACACGUGCUACAAUGGACAGUACAGAGGGUCGCGAAGUCGCGAGGCGGAGCUAAUCUCAGAAAACUGUUCGUAGUCCGGAUUGGAGUCUGCAACUCGACUCCAUGAAGUUGGAAUCGCUAGUAAUCGCGGAUCAGCAUGCCGCGGUGAAUACGUUCUCGGGCCUUGCACACACCGCCCGU
rnacentral:rRNA from 1 species